UUGAACAAGGAUACCAGCACUAAAGCACCGGAUCCCAUCAGAACUCCGAAGUUAAGCAUGCUUGGGCGAGAGUAGUACUAGGAUGGGUGACCUCCUGGGAAGUCCUCGUGUUGCAUUCC
rnacentral:rRNA from 3 species